GCAAUAGCUCAGUUGGUUAGAGCGUGGUGCUGGUAACCUGCUAAGGUUGUGGGUGUGAUCCCCGUAUGAAACA